GUGCUCGCUUUGGAAGCACACAUGCUAAACUUGGAACGACGCAGAGGUUAGCAUGGCCCCUGUGCAAGGGUGACAUGCAAAUUCGUGAAGCGUUCUAUAUUUUU